rnacentral:misc_RNA from 1 species
ACUUCCGUCUUAAWGUAUUAAGAAUGGUUGAAGGAGCCAUACCCAAUAUCUUACGAAAAAUAAGAUAUUGGGUAUGGCUCCCGCCAAWGAAUGAUAAUUUUUUAUUCCAAAUUAACGACGAGAUUUAUWAUCGUUUCUCGCAUGUCUCUCGAAAGUCAGAGUAGGCACGAAUUCUCCCAAUUUGUGACCUACCAUACGAUUUGUUAUAUAAAUAGGUAAAUGUUCCUUUCCMUUAUGAAUAGCGAUKGUAUGGCCAACCAUUUUGGGUAUAAUGGUAGAUGCCCGAGACCAAGUUACUAUUAUUUCUUUCUCCUUCCUCAUGUUGAGUUUUUCAAUUUUUCUCGAUAAAUGAUUAGCUACAAAAGGAUUUUUUUUUAGUGAACGUGUCACAGCWGAUUACUCCUUUUUUUUACAUUUUAAAGAUKGGCAUUCUAUGUCCAAUAGAAUAUCUCGAUCUAAGUAUGAAGGUAAGAAUAAAUACAAUAAUGAUGAAUAAAAAA